UCUCUCUCUUUUGGCCGUACAGUCUCUCUCUCUCUCUCUCUCUCUCUCUUCCCCGACCUUUCUUCUUCUUCUUCUCUUCCUCUGCCAUCACCGGAGACCACCACCUCCGGCCACCAUUUCACAAAACCGCCACCAUCAAUUGAUGCAACCCCUAAAUCUGAUCAGAGCCCGAGCCAUACCGUCACCAUGCACCUCCUGCAGCCACCGCACGGGAGAAUCACAGUUCCACCGCCUUACUCCUUGAUCUUCGUCGGUUUCUGGCUAUCUUUUCAAUACACCUCCGCUACCAUCGUGCCCAGAACAAUCUGAACUUUCAAACCCAGAAGUUUUGUCGACUACUGAGGCCCGAAAGCCACCGCACACGGCGUCGCCGGAGACGUCGACUCUGUGGCUCUUCGUUCUUUAAUCUCUGGCCACAUUCGAGCUGCACGACCACGAUAACCCGAGUCAGGAUUUUACGAGCUACCAAAUCCCAAAACCCCGACCUCCAGUUCCGGCCAGAGCUGCCGCACGCUCUGCCACUGGCAUGUGGACCACCACAGCUCCGUCACUGGAUUCCCAGGCGCCUCUAUUAGGUAAACUGUCGUUUCUUUGCUUAGGUUGGAGCUUCUGGCUGUUGUGGAAUGGAACCCUAACGUAAUGUGUUCAAUUUUGAUUGUGAGGUUUUGGUGAAAUCUGUGUAUUGGGUGUAUGGAACCUUAAGCUUGGAAUUGGAUGCAGGAAAUGGGAAAUCCAUUACUCAGUGAUGAGGACUUUGGAAGGGGCACUGAAGAGUAGGAGAUUGGCUUUAUAUCGAGAUUCUUGGCAGUAAAGAAAAGGCGAAAUGAGAUCGACCUCGACCCUUCACUCAUUCUCUCUCCUUCUCACUCGGGCUCUCUCAGCUCGACCUAGAAACCGUGAGGAAAACUCAAACACGAGCCCUCUCUCCUUCUCACUCAGCUCUCUCAGAUCUCGAUUCUCACUCUCUCGAUUCUUUGUUGGCUAAGAUUGAACUUCUUCAUCAUAUUUCUAUCAAAUCUGGCCACUUCAGUAGAAGAUCUACCAACUCUCUUCUCCUUCUCUCUCGCUCCCUUGUCUUUCCAAACCCUACUCUCCCUCUCCCUCUCCCUCUCCCUCUGUCUGUGUCUCCGAAUCUCACAUUCUCUCUCUACAAUCCUCUCCGUCUCUCUCUGAAAUUGACGGAGAUGAAGUCUAUCUGCGCCACAAUUUCUUACGGGAGACGAUGGAGCCGCCCCAGUAGGGUCUGGCAAGCCUCCGUGAAAGCAUAUAGCCGCCAAGGAGAACGAGUCUCCGCCUUCAGAUCUCCUCUAUAUGGCCUUGGAUUCGAAGCCUUCGCCAGCGGCCAAGUUGAAUAGUCUGUUGCCGCCACGGCCUUGAGAUGCUUCCUGAGAACUCCGUCCAUGGAGCCUUUGGAGAAAGUUGAGAACUUUGGCC